GAGUUGGCGGUGGGACAGGGAAAGGGGCUUGCCCGGGAGCCAAGGAGGGAAGAAAGUGUGUCAGGAACUGGGCGUCAAAGCGGGCAGGAAAGUUAGCCAGAGAGAGAGAGAGAGAAAGAGAGAGAGAGAGGUAGAGAGAGAGAGAAAGA